UGAAAACACAAUUUACGGGUAGAAUGCUACUCAGGAACCAGAUCGAGCGAGGCAAAUCCUCUUCAUCGAACCGCUUCCCCCACACCCUCGCACUGCUCGUUCCUCCUGCUAGGGUUGAGCGCCGUCCAGACCAGCCUCAUCAAAUCCGCCGGCAGGAGGCUCCUGCUGCGUCGCCGCCCCAGACCGGCCGCCCCUUUCUCCUCCUCCGCUCCUUUCGGCCCACCCUUCUCCUCCUCUCCUUCCUGCCGUGCCGCCGCCACAACAGAACGGCCGUCCAUCCAUUCCCACUGCGCCGCUACCCCAGCAAACCGACUGCCCAUCCAUUCCCGCUACGCCGCCACCCCAGCAGACCGGUCGUCCGUCCAUUCCCGCCGCGCCGCCGCCCCUGCAUCAAUUGUUGUUUUCUGUGUGUUGUUAGCUUUUCAGGAAACGAGUACCAAACGGAUUCCAAGCACUACGAAACUUUUUGAUGAUUUUUUUUUGGACAAAAGAGGACAUGGAAGCUUAGGAAGGAGGCCAUAAGUUGCACGAGGAGACGACAAGGCAAUAGAGCAUGUUCAGGGCGGUAGGCGUGCCCUGUUACCUUGUAGGGCCCUCGUGGCUUCGUCUGGCCUGAUUUCAUCCCUAUAAAUUCUCAAAUAUUGGGAAAACAUCACAGAGCCACCUGAAACACUUUUUCUGCAGCCACAAUUCUCUAUU